UACGGAGGGUGCGAGCGUUAUCCGGAAUUACUGGGCUUAAAGGGUGCGUAGGCGGCUAAGUAAGUCAGGAGUGAAAGUUUGCGGCUCAACCGUAAAAUUGCUUUUGAUACUGCAUAGCUAGAAUUAGGAUGAGGUCAGCGGAAUGUGGCAUGUAGCGGUGAAAUGCAUAGAUAUGCCAUAGAACACCAAUUGCGAAGGCAGCUGGCUAGACCUGGAUUGACGCUGAGGCACGAAAGCGUGGGGAGCGAACAGG
rnacentral:rRNA from 1 species